rnacentral:rRNA from 1 species
UACGUAGGCAGCGAGCGUUGUUCGGAAUUACUGGGCGUAAAGAGUGUGUAGGCGGUGCUCUAAGUUCGGUGUGAAAUCUCCUGGCUUAACUGGGAGGGUGCGCCGGAAACUGGAGUGCUUGAGCGUGGGAGAGGAAAGCGGAAUUCCUGGUGUAGCGGUGAAAUGCGUAGAUAUCAGGAGGAACACCUGUGGUGUAGACGGCUUUCUGGACCAUAGCUGACGCUGAGACACGAAGGCGUGGGUAGCAAACAGG